UUUUCUACAACAAUGUUCUGAACUUCUCUCAUUUUACGACUUGUACUUUUACCAUUUAAAUUUCCAUGAGGUUUCUUUUUUUGCUUGAACUUUUACAAUUUGAAUUUUUGCUAUUUCUUUUAUUCCGAACGGACCACCGUUUUAACUCGUACUGAUCAAUAUUUUUAAUUCAAACCAUUUGUCCUUUCAUCAUCUGACAGAAAUUGUUUCCACACAUAUAAUACAUGUACAUAAAUCAUAUUAUCCAUAGCACAAAAAUCAUCGGCCUAUUCUUGUACAGAACUUUUCAAGCACCCACAUGAAUACAUGUACUGCCUGUACCAAAUGUAACAUUGGCAGAGCUACUAGUCUAGCUACACGCUAUAGGAGCAGCCGAUCAUGCUCCUUUUUUUGGCCCAUCUUCCUGUUCAAAAAAAUGAAAACAUCAAUCAAUUAAAUAGGUUGCACCUAGGUCGUGUGUGUGCACUGUGUAGAACAGCCAGCCGUUACAGACUACAACUUAUAGUCUACUGACUAACAGCUCUUGUACACUAAGACAUGGAAAAAAUGCAGCAAAUGACUUGAUCAAUGAUAGUACUCCCUCUGUCCCAUAAUGUAAGACAUUUUUUGACUGUAGUGUAGCGUCAAAAAAAGUCUUACAUUAUUGGACGGAGGGAGUAAUAUAUAAUGGCAUAUCACUGGAAUUUGGACAUCAUGAACACUGAAUAUUUGCUUCUCCACAACAGCCUCAUUACUGAUUGAGAAUCCCCUACUUGGGGUAGUGAACCUUUUUGCCGAACAGCUACAGUUUUAAAAAUUGUACCACCAAACCUUAUAAAGAAAUAGGAAAUGAACUGCCGAAUCCAGCCAAACAUGAACUCCCCUUUAAAAGUAAUAUAGUACAUCCUCGAUAUUUCUGAAAAUUAAAGUUGAUGAACUAAGCUAAAGAUGAACUGAAACUUAAUCAAAAGUUGAACUCCUAUAGGGUUCAAGGUCAAAAGAACCUCCACAUCCAUCAAACUUCAUAUCCUGGAGUUCAAUUUCUGUGAAAAUCAAACUUGUGUAUCACUUAGUACAUGUAUUACUACCCAGAGCAGCACCAGCCUGCAUCCCAGAGCCCAAGUUAUAGAUACAGCCUGGUGUAAGGCCAUUGUUUCAGCAUGCAUGGUAUCACUGACCUCACUAACCUCCUCAAGAUGAUGACCGUGUCCCACCACAACAGCUUACCGAUUAUUAAAAUAUCAGCAGAAUGUUACAUUGCCGAGAGGUUUAUGCUUCAAGGUCAAUAAACAUUUUCUUAACUAAAAGAAUGAGAAAAGAAACUAUAAAUGAGCUUCAUACUAUGAAAGAAUGAGCAUAAAAUUAUUCCCUCCGCUACAGACUAAAAGAGACAUCAGUACUAGAAUGACUCGAGAAGAACUUUAGAUUUGUAGCAGCACACACGAGAAACUUCCAGAAUUUUAUAGAAUCAAAACAAACUUCCAGAAUUUUUGAAAACUGAACUGACGAUUUUUCUGCACAUGCACCCAACAAAUUUCACUUCUACAACCAUAUGCAUAAGUACCAAAAAACAGUACGCUAAUAAACCAUUUUUUACGGCGGUGGCGGCUCACUCCGUGCAACGUCUCUGAACUUGGUGUAUGCCGGCGGUAGAACUUCCUGGCCUUCCAAACUUGUACUGAAGAUAUGUACCAAACAACAGUAUGCCUAAGUAUUCCGAAGACAUACAAGAGCCACACACAGCCGUGAGUUACCAAAAAACACAACAGCUUGUGCAUUUUUUAUGAAGCUUUUAUAUGCAUAACACAAUGACAUUUUUUGGCACUACUUCUGCAUUUUAGACAUGCUAUGCAAGAAAUAACCAGAGAAUUUGCUAUACUUAGCAAAGGUGAACUACUAACCAGAGAACAACAGAAUCUUUGUAUCGUUGUACGUUUCCUUUUUUAAUUUUAGAAUCUCUACACUUUGCACGCAAAGCAAUCUAACAAAUACACAAUUUAUGCGCUAGCCGCUAAUUUUUUUGAUUGACAAAGGAAGAUGGAGAUGAGAGAGCAAAAUUACUGCCAACAAGAGAGAUGUUCUGCCUUCUUCCCUCAGGUCUGAAUCAAUAGUAGUACAAGUUCAAUAAAAAAAUUAACUGAAAAUUCAAACGGGAGGCAUGGAGAUCUUCACCGCUGGGAGCCAAUGAGGAGCGAUUCGAGCAGUGUGUACCUGGACCGACACCGUAUGCAGUAGGCAGAGAGCCGAAGAUGGUGGUGUGGGCGCCGCAAGCACCGAAUCCAGCCCGUGGUUAAGUCUUUUCCUUCAUUGAUUUGCAAAAAGAAAGCCCCUUUCUUUUUCAUUUUCCCAUGUAAUAACACAAGGAAAAAAUAUCAGCAAACCACAAUGGUAAAGACCAAAGCUACAUGACAAUACAUUUUCUUCAGCUAGCUAGUACAUGCUACUGACUCCACCACUGUAGCGUCCAUGUAUCCUCCUUGCGUGGGCAACCAUUGGGGAGGAAAGGCUGCUGCCGCUCGACACGUUGAACCACCUGUAGGAAUCAAAGUGAACUGAAGGGAUUCAUACACAUCAAUGGACACAUGUACUACACAACAAUGCGCAUCUCUACUGUUCAUAACAACAAACUAACAAAAAAACAAUUUAUGAAGGAAAUAGUUCUUGAAAAUGGGUUGAGCUUAAAUUGUUUAGAUUUUUGAACUCCUGCAACAGUUAUACUUGAACUUGCGUGACACAUUUUUCUGAAAGCAUUUGGUGUUCAGAAUACGCUAUAUGAAAAGGGGAAGGGGGAACACACUGAGACACAUAGGAAAAAGUGAGAAAAUCAUGAACUAUUAGCUAGGAUAUUUGUGAUACUAGGCAGUGACAUACAUGUCAAACCUUUCGCACCAUGAAGUAGCAGCGAGGUUCUUCUAUCAGUGAGGAGGUGCAAAAGAAAUGCAACAAUACAUUGAAAAUUCCAAUAAAAGCAUUGAAAAAAAUUCGUACUAUUGGUCGUUUGCAAUGCACGAGCACAAUGAGAGAACUGAAUCAAAUAAAGUACCUUUCUUCCUGCACCUGUCUACUUGCAUUAUAUGUUGCACGAGCCCCACAUUGAACAGCUUGUUACCAUUGCUAGGAAUUUUCUAAAGUACACACCCGUUGCCAAGCAACGGAAGGGCGGCCAAGGUGUUGGUCUGAGUUGGAUUCCAUCGCCCUUGACCACACAGUGCAUUGGUGGUGGCCAUGCUUGCCUGUACUGCACAACAAACUAACCCAAACGAAAAUGAGAUGUGAUAGCUAAAGACCAUGAUGUGUCCUAGUAUCUCAAAAUUAGGGUCAAUUGAGGUACUUACUAAG
rnacentral:lncRNA from 1 species